rnacentral:lncRNA from 1 species
AGAGAGAGAAAACAAUGCCUUAAGUAGAGAAUGGCAAGUUUUAGAUACAGAAUGAGAGAUGGUUAUGCCUAUUUAUAGUUGAGGUUCAGGGAUCAACUUGCAAAGUCACUUUACAAUUAGGGACCAUAUAUUGCAAAUAUCUCAGAUUUUAUUAUGCCAAUAUCUCGAUACCCAUAUCUUUGACUUUCCAAUAUUUGAUACCCAUAUCUUUGACUUUCUAUUAUUUGAUACCCAUAUCUUUGAUUUUCCAUAAAUAUGGAUAAUUCCCAAUAAUCUCCACCUUGAAGAUUUGAUUCGAGUAAUCUUAUCUUCACACAAUUCUCUCUGCCUUUGUCAACAACACUUGAUAGUGCCUUCUUCAACUAUUAAACAUGCAGAAUAUUGAUCAAGUUCAAACAAUGUUCGAACUUGAUUGUUGUUACCACCUUGGUCAUCAUAUCUGCGGGAUUAUCUGUAGUCUUAAUCUUCUGAAGGUGAAUUUUCCCCUCAUCAAUAAUUUCCCGCACAAAGUGGAAACGUACAUCGAUAUGCUUUGUACGUGCAUGAUAGACUUGAUUCUUUGCUAAAUGAAUAGCACUUUGACUAUCACAAUACACAUUAAUAUGCUCCUGGACCAAUCCCAAGGUUUUAACCAUACCUUGUAACCAAAUAGCUUCCUUUACAGCCUCUGUUACAGCCAUGUAUUUAGCUUCUGUGGUUGACAACGCAACUGUAGACUGCAGUGUAGACUUCCAACUUAUUGGUCCUCCAGCAAGAGUAAACACAUAACCAGUGGUUGAUCUUCGUUUGUCCAAAUCACCGGCAUAAUCAGAAUCAACGUACCCAACAACACCUUUACCAAGUGUAGUAUCCUGCUUGAACAGUAAUCCAAUAUCCAUGGUCUUAUGAAUAUACCGUAGAAUCCAUUUCACAGCUUGCCAAUGUCCUUUUCCAGGAUUAUGCAUAUACCUGCUCACUAUACUAACUGCCUGUGAAAUGUCGGGUCUUGUACACACCAUUGCAUACAUCAAGCUACCCACUGCAUUAGAAUACGGAACUUGCAACAUGUAUUCUCGUUCCGUAUUCGUCGAAGGAGAUAGUUGUGCAGAAAGCUUGAAAUGAGAAGCCAACGGGGUACUUACAGGUUUUGUCUGCUCGUUCAUGCCAAACUGCUGUAGUACCUUUUUCAAAUACUACUUCUGAGACAAGCUAACUCUAUCAUGAGCUCUAUCUCUCCAUAUUUCCAUGCCGAGAAUCUUUUUAGCUUCUCCUAGAUCUUUCAUCUCAAACUCGAGAUUGAGUUGAGUCUUCAAUCUUUCAAUCUCAACUUUGCUCUUAGAUGCUAUUAGCAUAUCAUCAACAUAUAAGAGCAAGUAUAUGAAAGUUCCUUCUUGUAGCUUCUGAAAAUACACGCAAUGAUCAAAUUUACUUCUUGUGUACCUUUGCCCUUUCAUGAACUGAUCAAAUCGCUUGUACCACUGCCUCGGAGAUUGCUUCAAUCCAUAAAGCGACUUUGUCAGUUUGCAAACCCAAUUUUCUUUUCCAGCAACCUUGAAUCCAUCUGGUUGAGUCAUAUAGAUUUCCUCUUCCAAAUCACCGUGUAAAAACGCGGUCUUCACAUCAAGCUGAACUAGUUCAAGAUCAUAUUGCGCAACCAAGGCUAGCAAAAUCCGAAUAGACGAAUGCUUCACAACUGGAGAAAACACUUCAUUGUAGUCUAUUCCUUCUUUCUGAGCAUAACCCUUUGCUACUAAUCUAGCCUUGUAUCGAAUUUCAUUUUUAUCAGGAAAUCCUUCCUUCUUUGCAUAUACCCAUUUGCAUCCAAUUGACUUCUUUCCCUUGGGUAGUGUCACCAACUCCCAGGUCUUAUUUUUAUGAAGAGACUGCAUUUCUUCAUUCAUUUCUUGCUUCCACUUUACACCAUCAGGGUUACUUAUUACUUCUGUGUAAGUAGAAGGAACAUCAUCAUCUGUAAUUGGAAGUGCAUAGGCCACUAUAUCAUCAAAGCGAGCAGGCUUACGGAUCUCUCUUCUUGGCCUUCUAUAUGCAAUUGAAUCUUGUUGCUGUAGAGAUUCUUGGGUAGGAACCUCUUCAUCAUUUGUCCCUUCAAUAUUAGCUGGAUCAUCGUUAACUUUUUCAAGCUCCACCUGCUGCAAAGUACUACUGGUUUUGUCAUCCUUUUGUGAAUCCUUGUACUUCAACAUGGUUGAUUCAUCAAAAGUCACAUCUCUACUGAAAAUAAUCUUCCUUGUAUCAGGACACCAGAGACGAUAUCCUUUUACUCCAUCAGUUAUACCCAAGAAUAAUGCUUUCUUUGCUCUUGGGUCUAACUUAGAUUCUUUUACAUGAUAAUAUGUAGUGGAACCAAAUACAUGCAAAGAAUCAUAAUCAGUAGCAGAUUUAACAGUCCACAUCUCCAUAGGAGUUUUUCCAUUUAUUGCAGCUGAUGGCAAACGGUUAAUUAGAUGGCACGCAUAUGUAACUGCCUCGGCCCAAAAUUCUUUGCCCAAUCCAGCAUUGGACAACAUACAUCGAACUUUCUCCAGUAUAGUUCGAUUCAUUCGUUCUGCCACCCCAUUUUGCUGUGGUGUAUCCCGAACAGUGAAGUGUCGCACAAUGCCCUCAUCUUGGCAUACUUGUAGAAAUGGAUUAUUUUUGUACUCAGUACCAUUAUCUGAUCGAAGUCGUUUGACCUUUCGACCAGUCUGAGUCUCCACCAUCUUCUUCCAUUUCAGAAAUGCAUCCAAGACUUCACUUUUUCUUUUCAUUAGAUACACCCAUACUUUUCUUGAAUAAUCAUCAACAAAAGUAACAAAAUAGUGCAUACCUCCCAAAGAAGCUACUUUGGUAGGUCCCCACACAUCACUGUGAACGUAGUCCAGAAUUCCUUUCGUAUUGUGAAUUGCUGGACCAAAUUUUACCCUCUUCUGCUUGCCCAGAACACAAUGUUCACAGAAUUCCAUUUUGCAAGAAUUUGCACCUUUCAAUAAGCCUUGCUUCACCAAUGUCUGCAAAGCUUUUUCACCAGCAUGUCCCAAUCGCAUAUGCCAUAAUCUGGUAGCCUCUGAAUCUACAUCUUUUGUAGAAACUGUUGAUGUUGAUCCAAUAACUGUACUUCCAUUUAAAAAAUACAAGUUAUUUCUUCUUGUGCCUUUCAUCACCGUCAGUUGCCCAGCUACUACUUUUAGUAAUCCAUCUCUCAAAGUGAUUGUGAGCCCUUUAGAUUCUAGGGCACCUAAUGAGAUGAGAUUUUUCUUCAGGCUAGGUACGUAGCGAACAUCUGUCAAGACUUGGAUUGAGCCGUCGUGAUUCUUCAAUUGGACUGUACCCACUCCCAUUGUCUUACAAGCACUAUCAUUUCCCAUAAGAACAAUUCCACCUUCUAGCUCUUUAAGACUAGAAAACCAGUCCUUAUUAGGACACAUAUGGUAAGUACAUCCUGAAUCCAAAAUCCACUCAUCCGUUUGACAUGCCAUUGCCAUGCCAACCAAGCUAAAGUCUGACUCCUCAUCAUGCUCCGCUACACAUGCAUUAGAAAUAGCCUUGCCCUUUUGUAGCUUAGGACAAUUCUUUUUCCAAUGCCCUUUUUCACGGCAAAAGGCACAUUCAUCUUUGGCGGGUCUCCCUUUGGACUUUCCCCUUCUACCAGAUUUGCUGCUGUGUGAACGACCUCUUACUGUUAAGACUUCUGCGGUUGUAUCUCUGUGAUCUCUUUUAUCUUUCUUUCGAGUCUCAGAUCUAUACAACGCACUACAGACUGCAUCAAAUGUGAUCGUGUCCUUCCCAUGAAGCAAUGUGGUGGUAAGAUGAUCAUAUUCAUCAGGAAGGGAAUUCAACAACAAUAAUGCCUUGUCUUCAUCUUCAAAUUUCUCAUCCAAAUUUAGCAAGUCUGCUAAAAUUUUAUUGAAUGAGUUCACAUGGUCAUUCAUCGACAUAUCGGGUGUAUACGUGAAUCGAUAAAGUUUUUUUUAUAUAUAAAGCCUAUUUUCAAGACUUUUUGUUAGAAACUUUUCUUCCAGUGUAUCCCACAACUUCUUCGCUGAUGUCUCCCUCAUGACAGAGUACUUCUGCUCUUUGGCCAAACAUAGGCGAAUUGUUCCACAUGCCUGUCUAUUGAUCUUGGCCCACUCCUUGUCAUCCAUCUUGUCAGGUUUUUCUUCAAGGGCUAUAUCCAGCUCUUGCUGACAUAAGGCAUCCAGGAUCUCACAUUGCCACAUACCAAAAUUAUUGGUACUAUCAAAUUUCUCUACUUCAAAUUUCGCAUUGGUCACAGUAGUCUUUGACGAUGACUUUUCCAUUUUUUUCUCCUUAAUCCCAACUACAGUACGUGAACAGUGCCGUGAACGAUCGUAUUCCCCAAGUACGAAUCUAGCUCUGAUACCAAUUGUUGUGCGGAAGCGUGUAAAAGAGUAAAAUUAUUGUACUAAAAAAUCACACUAAGUUCAAUUCCCAGGAAAGAGAGGUGGAUCGCAAGGAUCGCUUAAGUACUAGGUCUUUCCUAGCCAGAAUAUCCCUCAAUCGUAAUUUAAUAGCACAAUAAAUCACUACAAUCACACACACAAUUCAUGCAGAAUAAUACAAUAAAGAACACAAGAAUUUAACGAGGUUCAGCAAAUUUUGCCUACGUCCUCGGGCACUACCAAAUAUAUUUCACUCCAAAAUACAAGUGAGAAUUUACAAAGAGAGAGAGAGAAAACAAUGCCUUAAGUAGAGAAUGGCAAGUUUUAGAUACAGAAUGAGAGAUGGUUAUGCAUAUUUAUAGUUGAGGUUCAAGGAUCAACUUGCAAAGUCACUUUACAAUUAGGGACCAUAUAUUGUAAAUAUCUCAGAUUUUAUUAUGCCAAUAUCUCGAUACCCAUAUCUUUGACUUUCCAAUAUUUGAUACCUAUAUCUUUGACUUUCCAAUAUUUGAUACCCAUAUCUUUGACUUUCUAUUAUUUGAUACCC